GCCUUAUAUCUGCUUUUUUAGGUGUCAGUUAACUGGCAAGUAUGGAACUCUGAAUUGAAAGUGCUCAAAAGCAGAGGCUAAAGUUUGUGAAAAUAAGCAGGCUCGUUAUGCAGACAACCAUUUUAGUAUUCACUUGAACAACAGGACUUUUGUCAACACAAGAAAAAUGAAGAAUAAUGUUGCACUUUUCUGCUCCUCAGGCGGCACCCAGUACAGUAUUUGGCUCCCAACGUGUGCCAAAUAAAAGCCCAAAGACUGAAGGGCUAGUCAUCUUCUGAGCUCCUUGCACCAUGCUAAGAGACAGAAAAGCCAUCAUCUAUAUCUUCAAAGAAGUUUCAACGUAGCUGAUGGAAAUAAGUCAUAUCAACAUGAACAGAGA
rnacentral:lncRNA from 13 species